AUUGAACGCUGGCGGCAGGCCUAACACAUGCAAGUCGAGCGGAUGAGUGGAGCUUGCUCUAUGAUUCAGCGGCGGACGGGUGAGUAAUGCCUAGGAAUCUGCCUGGUAGUGGGGGACAACGUUUCGAAAGGAACGCUAAUACCGCAUACGUCCUACGGGAGAAAGCAGGGGACCUUCGGGCCUUGCGCUAUCAGAUGAGCCUAGGUCGGAUUAGCUAGUAGGUGAGGUAAUGGCUCACCUAGGCGACGAUCCGUAACUGGUCUGAGAGGAUGAUCAGUCACACUGGAACUGAGACACGGUCCAGACUCCUACGGGAGGCAGCAGUGGGGAAUAUUGGACAAUGGGCGAAAGCCUGAUCCAGCCAUGCCGCGUGUGUGAAGAAGGUCUUCGGAUUGUAAAGCUCUUUAAGUUGGAGGAAGGGCAAUAAGUUAAUACCUUGCUGUUUUGACGUUACCAACAGAAUAAGCACCGGCUAACUUCGUGCCAGCCGCCGCGGUAACAC
rnacentral:rRNA from 1 species